rnacentral:tRNA from 1 species
CCAGGGGUACCGAAGUGGUCAAACGGGGUUGACUGUAAAUCAACUGGUUCAUCCUUCGCAGGUUCGAAUCCUGCCCCCUGGA